rnacentral:rRNA from 1 species
AGGUGCUGCAUGGCUGUCGUCAGCUCGUGUUGUGAAAUGUUGGGUUAAGUCCCGCAACGAGCGCAACCCUUAUCCUUUGUUGCCAGCGAUUCGGUCGGGAACUCAAAGGAGACUGCCGGUGAUAAACCGGAGGAAGGUGGGGAUGACGUCAAGUCAUCAUGGCCCUUACGAGUAGGGCUACACACGUGCUACAAUGGCGCAUACAAAGAGAAGCGACCUCGCGAGAGCAAGCGGACCUCACAAAGUGCGUCGUAGUCCGGAUCGGAGUCUGCAACUCGACUCCGUGAAGUCGGAAUCGCUAGUAAUCGUGGAUCAGAAUGCCACGGUGAAUACGUUCCCGGGCCUUGUACACACCGCCCGUCACACCAUGGGAGUGGGAAGCAAAAGAAGUAGG